GCACGUACGGAUGCUCCGAGAGCUGCUCCUGCCUCCCCGCCUGCCCUGCCUCCAGAUGUUGCAUCAUUUCGCGGGCUACAAAAGUCCAAUGCUCUUGAGGAACAAGAAACCCCCAAGCUUAACCCGCCAAAAAGCAAAGUUACUGAGUCUCUACUGAAACCUCAAGGAGGAGAUCCUGUCCCCAGCUGGAGAAGCAGCAGGGAGGAGG